AUCUAAAUAGUUUAUAAAAAAUAUUAACUUGUGGUGUUAAUGAUGCAAUUUUUGUUUUAGAUA
rnacentral:tRNA from 1 species